CCGAGUUUACAACUCCCAAACCCAAUGUGAACGUUACCAAACUGUUGCCUCGGCGGGAUCUCUGCCCCGGGUGCGUCGCAGCCCCGGACCAAGGCGCCCGCCGGAGGACCAACCAAAACUCUUAUUGUAUACCCCCUCGCGGGUUUUUUUAUAAUCUGAGCCUUCUCGGCGCCUCUCGUAUGGCCGUCUCUGAGUAACUUAUACAAUGAAUCA
rnacentral:misc_RNA from 1 species